CCAAACUGCUCCUCUCAAGGCAGUUACAAUUCGCGUACGGCAACGCCAACUAUUUCCACCCAGCCAGUGUCAGUGCCACCUCCAAUUCUGUCCACCGACCUUCCAUAGGUUGGAGAUGAAGCAGACCGUGGUCCUGUACCCCGGUGCCGGCGUCGGUCACGUUCGCCCCAUGACAGAGCUCGCCAACGUCUUUCUCAAGCACGGCUACGACGUCACCAUGGUGCUCGUCGAGGAGCCCCUUAAGUUGUCAGACUCCGGCACCACCGUCAUAGAGCGCACCGCUGCCUCCAACCCGUCCAUCUCCUUCCAUGUCCUCCCGUCCAUCCAUGCUCCAGACUUUGCCGCCUCCGGCAAGCACCCUUUCUUACUCAUGCUCGAGCUCUUGCACUAUUACAACGAGCAGUUCGAAGCAUUCCUCUGCGCCGUCGACCGGAAAAGCUUGCACUCUGUUGUCCUCGACAUGUUCUGCAUUGAUGCCACCGACGUUUGCAUGAAUCUCGGUGUCCCGCCGAUGCCAGCGUCUCAUCUCAUCAAGGAACUACUGGAGCACCCCGAAGAUGAGAUGUUCAAGGCCAUGAUGAACAUCUGGAAGCGCAAUACGGAGACCAUGGGCGUUCUCCUGAACACGUUCGAGUCGUUGGAGAGUCGGGCGGUGCAGUCUCUCAGGGGCCCGCUCUGCGUUCCCGAAAGGAUCCUGCCUCCGAUCUACUGCGUCGGUCCGUUGGUCGGCAAGGGCGCCAAGGAUGAGGAAAAAGUAGAGAGGAAAGAAUGCCUCGAGUGGCUUGACAUGCAGCCCGACCGCAGUGUCGUGUUCUUCUGGUUGGGGAGCAAGGGCACGCUCUCGACAGAGCAGCUGAAGGAGAUAGCCAUUGGCUUUGAGAGGUCAGGGCAGCGGUUCUUGUGGUCCGUGCGCAUGCCUGCAGGAAGCGACAACCCAGAGAAAUACUUGGAAGGGUUCCCUGAGCCGGAACUUGACGCGCUCCUGCCUCAAGGGUUCUUAGAGCGGACCAAUGGCAGGGGUCUGGUCAUCAAGUCGUGGGCACCGCAGAUGGACGUGCUCGGCCACAGGGCAACCGGCGCGUUCGUGACACACUGCGGAUGGAACUCGGUACUGGAGGCCAUUGUGGCUGGGGUGCCGAUGUUGUGUCUGCUGCUGGAAGGAGAGCAAAGGAUGAACAAGGUGUCCAUGACAGAGGGCAUGGGCGUCGCUGUGGAGCUGGAGGGAUACAUGACAGGUUUUGUGAAAGCAGGCGAGGUGGAGGCCAAGGUGCGGCUCGUGAUUGAGGGUGAGGAAGGGAGGCAUCUCAGGGCCCGGGUAGCUGCUCUCAGGGAAGAGGCCAAGGCGGCCCUGGAGGAAGGUGGCCCGUCGCGGGUGGCGUUUGCCCAAUUUCUCUUGGAUGUUGAUAAUCUUGGAAAGCAACUCGGCAAUUGACGCACUAGUAUGUACAUUUAUGUUGCCAGCAUGUUGCUAGUCCCUGUUUUCAACUUUCAUUUUGGUUGCGUGGUCAAUAAAGUCACUACUACCUCCGUCCUCUCAAAAAUAUGACCCAUAUGGAUAUAAUUCAAUUCAUAACUAGGCACAUUAUUCUUAGAUUUGAUAUUCCUUACAUUUUAACUAUGGAUAGUCCAUCCAUUAUUGCCAGAAUAGGAAAACAUCAAAAAAAAGAUGCAGAGGUAACCUCCAGCGUUAUUUAUGUGAGGUGGAUGGGACUGGAACCUCCAAUGUAUGAAAAAUCCCACACAUAUUCUUUUUGCGGGGGAAUUUCAAUAGCUUUAUUCAAAUAAAGGCAUUUGCCCAACAGUCAGCCAACAUGCUGCUGGUCAGGAAGCUAGGAGUUUUGUCCAACCAGCUUUCAGUCACGUCAAUCGUGCUAGAAAGCUUGGUACAUAUAUGAGCCAGGC
rnacentral:rRNA from 1 species